rnacentral:rRNA from 1 species
UAGGGAAUCUUCGGCAAUGGGGGGAACCCUGACCGAGCAACGCCGCGUGAGUGAAGAAGGUUUUCGGAUCGUAAAGCUCUGUCGUUAAGGAAGAAAGAGUGUGAGAAUGGAAAGUUCAUGCUGUGACGGUACUUAACCAGAAAGGGACGGCUAACUACGUGCCAGCAGCCGCGGUAAUACGUAGGUCCCGAGCGUUGUCCGGAUUUAUUGGGCGUAAAGCGAGCGCAGGCGGUUAGAAAAGUCUGAAGUGAAAGGCAGUGGCUCAACCAUUGUAGGCUUUGGAAACUGUUUAACUUGAGUGCAGAAGGGGAGAGUGGAAUUCCAUGUGUAGCGGUGAAAUGCGUAGAUAUAUGGAGGAACACCGGUGGCGAAAGCGGCUCUCUGGUCUGUAACUGACGCUGAGGCUCGAAAGCGUGGGGAGCGAACAGG